AUAGUUCCGGAUAUUCUUGGACCAUCGUUCACAAGUUUUUCUGUUUACGCUCCUGGCGUUUCAUUCAGCGGUCACUUCAGGUAGAACAAUUUGAUUGAAAGCUCUAACCCUGCGGCCAGAAGGUGGAACUACUGUGCCUUUGCAGAAACUCUACAUGAAGCUUAUCCACGAAUGGUAUGGAAAGAAAAGGAACUUCAGCAGCUUGGAUGGAUUGGGUUCAUGCGUUCAGUCAGCAGCUCAAGAAAGACCCGGAAAUUGCGAAUUAAACCACGUUUUGCACUGACCUCUAACACUUCUGAACAAACAACUGAUAUCUCGUGCGCUGAAGCACAGCGUGAGC